GCUGUCCAGAAAGACCAUCCCCCUGGAGCCUGGCAUUGAAAACACAGAACAAAGGAUACAAGUACAGCAGCAACACAGCCAGGAGGGCAGCCCCAGAGUUGGGAGGCCAACAGUGCUACUGGGCUCAAGUGCUGUUAUAAGGAGAAGUGUGGCUGUACACGACGCUCUGUGUGUUGAAGUGCUGAAGACCUCGGCUGGGCUGGGACUGAGUCUGGAUGGGGGAAAAUCAUCUGUGACAGGAGAUGGGCCCUUGGUCAUUAAAAGAGUGUACAAAGGUGGUGCAGCUGAACAAGCUGGAAUAAUAGAAGCUGGAGAUGAAAUUCUUGCUAUUAAUGGGAAACCUCUGGUUGGGCUCAUGCACUUUGAUGCCUGGAAUAUUAUGAAGUCUGUCCCAGAAGGACCUGUGCAGUUAUUAAUUAGAAAGCAGAGGAAUUCUUCAUGAAUUUUAACAAGAAUCAUUUUCUCAGUUCUCUUCUUUCUUUAGCAAAUCAGAGUGACUUCUUAAACCACAGGUUCUUGAAAUGGCCAACACUGGUAUAGACACAGACUAUAAAAAUCUCCAAGCGUGUGCUUACACAUGAAGCCUGACUUAACUGUAUGUGCAACAGCAAUGAAAUUAACUCCAGAAGCCUUCCACCUGGAUCACCCAGGCCGGGAGGGUUCAUUCGUUC
rnacentral:sRNA from 1 species